CCUACGGGUUGCAGCAGUAGGGAAUCUUCCACAAUGGGCGCAAGCCUGAUGGAGCAACGCCGCGUGUGUGAUGAAGGGUUUCGGCUCGUAAAACACUGUUAUAAGAGAAGAACGGCACUGAGAGUAACUGUUCAGUGUGUGACGGUAUCUUACCAGAAAGGAACGGCUAAAUACGUGCCAGCAGCCGCGGUAAUACGUAUGUUCCAAGCGUUAUCCGGAUUUAUUGGGCGUAAAGCGAGCGCAGACGGUUAUUUAAGUCUGAAGUGAAAGCCCUCAGCUCAACUGAGGAAUUGCUUUGGAAACUGGAUGACUUGAGUGCAGUAGAGGAAAGUGGAACUCCAUGUGUAGCGGUGAAAUGCGUAGAUAUAUGGAAGAACACCAGUGGCGAAGGCGGCUUUCUGGACUGUAACUGACGUUGAGGCUCGAAAGUGUGGGUAGCAAACAGGAUUAGAUACCCUUGUAGUC
rnacentral:rRNA from 1 species